AUCAAGAUGGGUGCCAAGAACAUGCCCACAGUGUUUUUGCUGACAGAUGCCCAGGUUCCAGAUGAAUGCUUUCUUGUGCUGAUUAAUGACUUGUUGGCAUCAGGAGUCGUUCCAGAUUUGUCCAGUGAUGAAGAAUUUAAGGUCAUAGUUGCAGGAGUUAGAAAAGAAAUCUGAGCCCUGGGCCUGAUAGACAUCAGAGAACACUCCUGGAGGUGAUUCCUGAGACUGUGACUGCAGUAGAAACUAAUUCAAAGGACUGGAGUGGUAUCUUGUAUAUGCUUGUUCAGUUUCCAACAAAUUCAGGAAAAGGACCUCUGAACUUUGAUCCUGGACCCCUCUUCUUGCUGUCAGAGCCACUCGUGCAGGACCCCAUGGUUUAUGUGGAUUUCAUGGCUUCUGCCCACACCACUGUGAAUGUCCUGAGGACCAAGUACAAUCAUGACA